rnacentral:rRNA from 1 species
AUUGAACGCUGGCGGCAUGCUUUACACAUGCAAGUCGAACGGCAGCGCGGGGCAACCUGGCGGCGAGUGGCGAACGGGUGAGUAAUAUAUCGGAACGUACCCAGAAGUGGGGGAUAACGUAGCGAAAGUUACGCUAAUACCGCAUACGAUCUACGGAUGAAAGUGGGGGAUCGCAAGACCUCAUGCUUUUGGAGCGGCCGAUAUCUGAUUAGCUAGUUGGUAGGGUAAAGGCCUACCAAGGCGACGAUCAGUAGCUGGUCUGAGAGGACGACCAGCCACACUGGGACUGAGACACGGCCCAGACUCCUACGGGAGGCAGCAGUGGGGAAUUUUGGACAAUGGGCGCAAGCCUGGUCCAGCAAUGCCGCGUGAGUGAAGAAGGCCUUCGGGUUGUAAAGCUCUUUUGUCAGGGAAGAAACGGCCGAGGCUAAUACCUUUGGCUAAUGACGGUACCUGAAGAAUAAGCACCGGCUAACUACGUG